rnacentral:rRNA from 1 species
UACGGAGGGUGCAAGCGUUAUCCGGAUUCACUGGGUUUAAAGGGUGCGUAGGUGGGCAGGUAAGUCAGUGGUGAAAUCUCCGGGCUUAACCCGGAAACUGCCAUUGAUACUAUCAGUCUUGAAUACCGUGGAGGUAAGCGGAAUAUGUCAUGUAGCGGUGAAAUGCUUAGAUAUGACAUAGAACACCCAUUGCGAAGGCAGCUAACUACGCGAUAAUUGACGCUGAUGCACGAAAGCGUGGGGAUCAAACAGG